CGAGUGGCGAACGGGUGAGUAACACGUGAGUAACCUGCCCUUGACUUUGGGAUAACUUCAGGAAACUGGGGCUAAUACCGGAUAGGAGCUCCUGCUGCAUGGUGGGGGUUGGAAAGUUUCGGCGGUUGGGGAUGGACUCGCGGCUUAUCAGCUUGUUGGUGGGGUAGUGGCUUACCAAGGCUUUGACGGGUAGCCGGCCUGAGAGGGUGACCGGCCACAUUGGGACUGAGAUACGGCCCAGACUCCUACGGGAGGCAGCAGUGGGGAAUAUUGCACAAUGGGCGGAAGCCUGAUGCAGCAACGCCGCGUGCGGGAUGACGGCCUUCGGGUUGUAAACCGCUUUCGCCUGUGACGAAGCGUGAGUGACGGUAUGGGUAAAGAAGCACCGGCUAACUACGUGCCAGCAGCCGCGGUGAUACGUAGGGUGCGAGCGUUGUCCGGAUUUAUUGGGCGUAAAGGGCUCGUAGGUGGUUGAUCGCGUCGGAAGUGUAAUCUUGGGGCUUAACCCUGAGCGUGCUUUCGAUACGGGUUGACUUGAGGAAGGUAGGGGAGAAUGGAAUUCCUGGUGGAGCGGUGGAAUGCGCAGAUAUCAGGAGGAACACCAGUGGCGAAGGCGGUUCUCUGGGCCUUUCCUGACGCUGAGGAGCGAAAGCGUGGGGAGCGAACAGGCUUAGAUACCCUGGUAGUCCACGCUGUAAACGGUGGGUACUAGGUGUGGGGUCCAUUCCACGGGUUCCGUGCCGUAGCUAACGCUUUAAGUACCCCGCCUGGGGAGUACGGCCGCAAGGCUAAAACUCAAAGGAAUUGACGGGGCCCCGCACAAGCGGCGGAGCAUGCGGAUUAAUUCGAUGCAACGCGUAGAACCUUACCUGGGUUUGACAUGGAUCGGGAGUGCUCAGAGAUGGGUGUGCCUCUUUUGGGGUCGGUUCACAGGUGGUGCAUGGCUGUCGUCAGCUCGUGUCGUGAGAUGUUGGGUUAAGUCCCGCAACGAGCGCAACCCUUGUUCACUGUUGCCAGCACGUUAUGGUGGGGACUCAGUGGAGACCGCCGGGGUCAACUCGGAGGAAGGUGGGGAUGACGUCAAGUCAUCAUGCCCCUUAUGUCCAGGGCUUCACGCAUGCUACAAUGGCUGGUACAGAGAGUGGCGAGCCUGUGAGGGUGAGCGAAUCUCGGAAAGCCGGUCUCAGUUCGGAUUGGGGUCUGCAACUCGACCU
rnacentral:rRNA from 1 species